rnacentral:lncRNA from 1 species
GUGCUCUUUAACUGCUGAGCCAUCUCACUAGCCCCAUGCCAUCAGUUUUAAUAUCUGAUGUUUCUUCUUAUAUUUAUUUCUGAAAAAUUCUAUUUUCCUCAAAAGUGUACGUUUAAAAAAUGAAAAUGGGCCAGGCGUGGUAGCACACGCCUUUAAUCCCAGCACUCAGGAGGCAGAGGCAGAGGCAGGUGGAUUUCUGAGUUCGAGGCCAGCCUGGUCUACAAAGUGAGUUCCAGGACAGCCAGAGCUAUACAGAGAAACCCUGUCUCGAAAAACCAAAAAAAAAAAAAAAAAAAAAAAAAAGAAGAAGAAGAAAGAAAAAGAAAAUGGUAAUACUUGCUGUAUUUUGUAUUUUCAGCUUCGUCCAGUAUAUUAUAUAGCUUCAGCCAGUGGGAUGAUCAGUGUAGGUAAAGGCACUUGCCACCAAGUCCCUUCUUGGGACUCACAUGGAGAGAGGACAAAACCAACGCUUGCAAGUUAUGCUUGUGUGCCCCUCAUCAAUGAAUCAAUCAAUCAAUAAUAGAGAUAAAGAAACCUUUGUACUUAGAAUAAAAAUAAUCAGUACCCAAGGGAAUAAUAACUAAGGGAAUCCAGCUAGGCAGGUUUGUGCAGUUAGGGGCAGAUGAAAGUGUGAGUUCCAUUUAAAUUUUUGUUUUCAACAUUUGUAAGAGGCAUUUUGAAUUGUUUAUAAGACAAAACACAAGACUUCUGAUUGAUCCAUUUUUAAGUUUUCAGUAAACUCUCUUGGUCUAUAUUUUGUCAAUGACAAAUCAUCAAAUUUAUUUAGAAAACAUUGAACUUAUUACAUUUUAAGUGAUUUUUUUGGUUGUAUGUGUGGCAUAUGCAUGUGUGUGCAGGUAUACUUGCCUAUGAAUGCAUGAGCAAAAGCUGGCAGUGGAUGUUAAAUAUCUUCUAUCUCCACCAUUUCAUUUUAUUUAGAUUGUAUGUGCUUGAAUAUGUACGUGCAUGCAUGCGUGUGUGUGUGUGUGUGUGUGUGUGUAUACCUGUGCACCUCCAGGAGGAACCCAGUGGAGGAGGUCAGAUGUCUUCUAUCACUUGCUACCUUAUUAACUUGAGACAGAGUCUCUCACUGAGCCACAACUAGUCAUUUAGAUUGGCUGACCAGUGAUUCCCCCAGGACCUGCCUCUUCCUUGCCACAUCCCCCUGUGCUGAGAUUACAAGCAUAUACAACCAUAUCUGGCUUUUUAUUUGAGUGUUUAGGAUUUGAACUCAGGUUCAAAUCAUAUGCUAUCAUUAUGCUUGUACUUCUAGUUACUGAGCCAUCUCCCUAGCCAUCUGUCUUUUAUUUUUAAAGCAAAGUCUCUCACUAUACCUGGAGCUCACUUGUUUAGCAAGACUGACUGGCCAGUAAAUCUCUGGGCUUUGCCUGUCCCAAACACUGCGUUUUCGCCCUUCAGCCUGGCUUUUUAAAUUGGUUGCUAGGAACUGAAAUUCAGGUUCUCACUGGUGCACACCAACUACUUUUACCCAUCUCUCCAGUCCCCAGUGAAAGUAAUUCUGAGUAAACUUUGGAAAUGAAUGCCUAGUCAUUGUGUUUUCCAGCACAAACGCAUAUGAAGCCUCUUAAAAUACGACUCUUGGUGCCGUCAUGUGACAGUACCUCAUAGCUCUAAAGUUGCUUUGAUUUGUCAUAUAAUUCUUUCAUAAUGUGUUACUUAACUUUAUGAAGUUUCCAUACAUUGGCUCCAUAUCCCUUAGUUUAUUGACUUUCAUUUUAAUACUACAGAAUAUUAUUAUAAACUUGCCUUUUUCCCCUUUACCCCUACUCCAAGAAGCUCUGAUUUCUUUGAUUAGAAAUGGUACUUAGUAGUAUCUGUAUGAUUGCUAGAUAUGCUCAUUGCUCCUAAUGUAUCAUGAUUUUCAGGCUCAGUCAAUGGAUAGAGCUAGGAGGCAUGGACUAUAACACCCAGUAUUCAGCCACAUGCCCUGAUGCUUACAUUUGAGUCUCUGUUUCUGUAGAUGAUAUGUCAAGUGCUACUACUUAUCACUGAUAUAUCUGGUUGAAGUCUAACACCAUAGGGUCCAGUCUAGUCUUUCUCUUCUCUUCUUGUAAUUUCUUUCAAAGGCUAAAAAAAACCCCAAGCAACACCCUCUGGUUUGUAUUAGCUAAUUAUAGCUUUUUUUAAAAAAAGCUUGUUUAACCCUAGUGUAUGUUUAAAAUUGUUUCAUAAUUGUUGUCCUCACUACUGUGAUAAAUAGAUUGCUUUUUGAUUUGAAGAUGUCCUGAUAAAAUAGCUAGUUUUUCCAAAGCUCCUUGGAUUAUUUUUUUUCUUGCCUUUCAUCGUGGUUAUAUUACUCAUGAAAAAAAAAAGUCCACCUUUCACUUUUUUAUAUGUGGAGCUUCCUCUGGUUUUAUGAGGAUUUUUUUCUACCUUUUUUUGUCUCUUCUGGCUUUUAACAGAACUGUAAAGUACAGGGUAGUCGUUGAUGGAUGGUAAUUGUAGGAGCUGAGCACUCCCUUCCUUGUAGUGCAGUAUUUGUCUAGACUUCUGAAAACCCUGGGUUCAGUUUCAAC